rnacentral:rRNA from 1 species
CUCGUAGGUGGCCAACUAAGUCAAACGUGAAAUCCCUCGGCUUAACCGGGGAACUGCGUUUGAUACUGGAUGGCUUGAGUUUGGGAGAGGGAUGCGGAAUUCCAGGUGUAGCGGUGAAAUGCGUAGAUAUCUGGAGGAACACCGGUGGCGAAGGCGGCAUCCUGGACCAAUACUGACGCUGAGGAGCGAAAGCUAGGGGAAGCAAACG